rnacentral:tRNA from 1 species
GCGCCCGUAGCUCAGCUGGAUAGAGCACCGGAUUUCUAAUCCGUAGGUCGUGGGUUCGAGUCCCGCCGGGCGCACCA